AUACCUUCACGGAACGACGCUCACUUCGUCCGCCUGAGGAGGAAAAAUAAGUUUAAACCUUUCUGUGAAAAAGAACGUGGAGCCCUUUCUGCCGAAUGGAAACCCGCUAAACCCCGUUAUGGAGUCUGCUACAAUUAAGCAUCUAACCAGGAAUUGUCUAUGGACACAACUCUCCAGGCAAUUCAUGCAGAAAGUGUGUUGACGAUUUCCUGUUUCUUGCAGAGCGCUUCACCGUUAAGGCUCUUAGUAGCUGGCGAUUGUAAAGCACAUUUUCCGCUUCAU
rnacentral:lncRNA from 1 species